rnacentral:rRNA from 1 species
AAAGGAAUUGACGGGGCCCGCACAAGCGGUGGAGCAUGUGGUUUAAUUCGAUGAUACGCGAGGAACCUUACCUGGGCUCAAAUGUAUGUUGACGUAUUCUGAAAGGGAUACUUCUUCGGACAAUAUACAAGGUGCUGCAUGGUUGUCGUCAGCUCGUGCCGUGAGGUGUCGGGUUAAGUCCCAUAACGAGCGCAACCCCUACCUUUAGUUGCCAUCAGGUAAUGCUGGGGACUCUAAAGGAACUGCCUACGCAAGUAGUGAGGAAGGCGGGGAUGACGUCAAAUCAGCACGGCCCUUACGUCCAGGGCUACACACGUGCUACAAUGGCCGAUACAGAGGGCAGCUACCUGGUGACAGGAUGCAAAUCUCCAAAGUCGGUCUCAGUUCGGAUCGGAGUCUGCAACCCGACUCCGUGAAGUUGGAUUCGCUAGUAAUCGCGCAUCAGCCAUGGCGCGGUGAAUACGUUCCCGGGCCUU